ensembl:lncRNA
AAAAUAGGUGAUAAGAAUCCAAAUGGAAAACAAGGAACAGCUACGUUAACAACAAGCCGAACUCAACCAGACGUAACUGCAAAAGAAACUAGUAUGCCAGACAAUAUAUCACAUAAUAUGAUAAGAAGAAAAAAACAAAACGAAAGUACCCUCGAUGAAGAAUAUGAAAAUUUAAUGAAUUAUCUGCAAAAAAUUAAAAAUGAAGAAGUAAUUGAGUAUAAUCAUUGUAUUAAUAAUCUAGCUCGUUUAUUCUUGGCAAGAUAUAAACGUCCUGUUGUACCAGGGCUUAUAGGUUACACUGUACUUUUUUUUAAUUAUACUAAAAAUGAUGAUAUAAACUCUACAUCUAAUAUUGACGCAAAAUAUUUAACAUGUCAAUAUGAGAAUGAUAUGAACAACUGUUCUGUAACAGAUAAAGAAGAAUUUUCAAAUAUUAUUAUAUAUAAAAACAAAAAAAAUGAAUUUUUUGACAGCAUACAUAUGCUAUCAAAUAUAUACACUACAUAUAUUAAUAUCUAUAACCCAAAUUUCGAAUCAGGUUACUUUGCAUACUUUAUAUAUUAUUAUUACGACAAUGACCUUGAAGAAUAUAUACUCACUGUAAAAAUCGUUAUAUGUACAAGUAGAACCAAAAAUAUAAAAUGUGAAAUGUUAAACCCUCUUCCACUCUAUAGAGGGAUAUAUCCAAAUGUGUGUGAUUAUCUUAAAAAAAUGCACAUCCCCAUACAAAAUGUUAAAUUUUCAUCUGACUGUACUUUCAAUAUAUAUUCUCGGGGAACACGAAUUUUACAUGAAGAUAAAUAUAAUUUGUAUAGGUCAGGACAUUUUCAAUAUUUUUAUACUUAUUUCAACAAAUUACCGGUAUCACCUAUUUUAAACAAUUUCUGUGAUGCAAUAGAAAUAAAUGCGAAUGAAUGUUUAGAUAUGUUAUUCCAUAUAAAUCAGGACUUAAAAAAAAAUCAUGAAGAAGCUAAAGAUUUUUUAAAAACAUGUAUGGGAUCUUAUUAUAAGGAAGCAGGACAACCAUAUAAAACUGAUUUUGGAAACAUAAAACAAAAAAGAGAAAUUGGCGCAAAAAAUAAAGCGACAAAUCGUAGAGAUUUACUAAUACAACUUGAAAAAAGUGUAGAUGAUCGUGAUCAAACACUUUGUACCAAAACUUACGAAAUAUUAGCAUCCUUUGAUUUAGAUAAUUCUAUUAAAUUGGAAUCCAAUUCUAAACAAAGUAUCGACAAUUCAGAUGUUAUUCCUACAGGUCCCACCAUAUUAAUACCGAGUCAUCAAAGAAAUGACAUUAAAUCGGAAUCCAGUAAUGUAAAAGAUAACGCUAAACUAGAACCCAUCCCUAAAGAAAAUAGCACUGAAUCAGAAUCUAGUCUUUAAGAAAAUACCACUAUAUCAGCACCCAGCCCUCAAGAAAUUGCCACUAAGUAAGCACCCAACCUUCAAGGAAAUGAUACUAAAUCAGCAUGCAGACUUCAAAGAAAUGACACUGAAUUAGAAUCCAAUGCUACAAUUUCUAAUUUAGUUUAUGGUGUAAUUUUAUUAAUAUUUACAAUUUAUAUGUUUUAAUAAUUAUAUUUAAGUUAUAAUUUUUAAUAUACGAUAAUUGUUUGUUUCACUUGUGCAUACAUAUAUACAUUUUUAUUUAGCUUAAAAAAAAAAAAUGAUAAUACAAACUAUAUUAAAUUCAUUACUAAAAUUAAUAUCACUAUUUAUUAUUUUUAUUUAUUCUAUUUUUUUUUUUUUUUUGCUUUUUGCUUUUUUUUUUUUAACACAUAAAUAUCACAAGUACAACUAAAAUCAAUAUUAUAAACAUAAACAAUUUGCGGUUAAAUUUGCAUUAAUAUAAAUAAAUUAAUAAAAAUAUUUUUUUUUUUUAAAC